AGAAGGGAGGAGUUAUUCAGGCCUCCGCCAGCUUCUAGGCCCUGGGGAUGGUCUUUCACCUCCCUCUUUCUGAUCUCUUUUUCAUGCUCCUCCUUGCUCCAAAGAAAAGCCGGAUGGCAAAAGAGCCCAGAACCUAUUGGUUCAGCACACCUGUGUCCAUCGGCAGGCAGAGAAGUGGACAGAUUUGAGAUCCAUUCUAGAGGCAAGACUGACAGGACUUCCUAGGAGAUUGGAUGUGGGAAGUGAGGGAUAGGAAGGCAUAAAGGAGGAACUGACAAAAUCAAGUCACGGCGCCUACAAAGAUGAGGGGCAGAUUCUGGCUGCCUUUUAAUUUCGUCCUUCACCUGAUAUCUGUGCCAGAGAAUGGUAAAAAUCAUAAUAAAGGAAAUAAUGGAAGAGGAGACUUAUGUUACUGGGGACAUCUAACAUAAUUAUUUUCCUGAUUCAGUGGCAUGGUUCAGUCUUCCAGGAGUUCUGCUACAGAGAAGAGAGUAACCCCCAUCCAUCAUGGCCAAAGCACCCAGUCAGGCUCCGCUCUGGAUCCAGCCCGACAAAUGCAACCCUUGAAUAGGGUUUGUGCAAGCAAACUGGAUGACGACCGAAGAAACCCUGUCGCUUCUGAGAAGACACCCAAUCCAAGAAUGUGAGUUCUGGAAAUGUCAUUAAAUGUCAGUUAUAUACAUGCUAAAGCAUCAGGUUCAAUACCUAGGAACUCCUGUAGAGGGUGUUGUGGAAUCUUCUUUAAAAGAACAAAACAAGGCAAAACAAAGUUUAAUAGGGUAGAGCAGCCAGGUGUGGUGGGUCAUGCCUGUAAUCUCAGCAAUUUGGGAGGCCAAGGCAGGAUCUCAGCAAUUUGGGAGGCGAAGGCAGGCAGAUCACUUGAGCCUAGGAGUUCAAGACCAGCUUGGGCAACAUAGCAAGACCCUGCCUAUACCAAAAAAAAAAAGUGAACCUAGGAGUAUGAGGCUGCAGUAAGCUGUGGUUGUACCAGUGCACUUUGGGAGGCCAAGGUAGGCGGGUCUUCUGAGAUCGAGAGUUUGAGACCAGCCUGACCAACAUGGAGAAACCCCGUCUCUACUAAAAGUACAAAAUUAGCCGGCAUGGUGGUGCAUGCCUGUAAUCCCAGCUACUCGGGAGGCUGAGGCGGGAGAAUUGCUUGAACUCAGGAGGCAGAGGUUGUGGUGAGCCAAGAUCGCGCCAUUGCACUCCAGCCUGGACAACAAGAGCGAAACUCCAUCACAAACAAACAAACAAUAAACAAAAACCAUAGAGUGAUUUCUGGCCAACAGAGCAAGAAAGAAGUGAACCAAUGAAAACCGGUCCAAGUCUGGGAGUCAAUAUGGAAAAGCUGCCUAAUUAAUGUGGAAGCCCCAGGGAAAUGAUAUACCAUGAAAACCUAACACUACAAAAACUAGUUGUCAGACACAUGUGAGCAGUGAACAGAAUCCUAAUAUGCUGGUUUAACAUUCAAAACUGGAGAGUGUUUGUGUAUCUUCUAAAGACUGUUUGGGGUUUAUUUGUGGAGUUCAGCUGAGUGUCAUCAGAACAAAGAUUAGUGCAAAAAAUCUUUCAGAAAUCAUGCCCAAACAUUUGCAUGCACCUUAAAUAAGAAAUGAAAUAGCAAGAAGAGUAUGUCACAAUAAAGUAUAAAUAGCAAGUGAUAUGUCUCAUCGUACUGAGACAGUUUUAUAAAUGAGGCAAAGGCCUUGUCAAAAAAUAAUGAUGAUUUUCAAAAUUCUGAAACGCAAAGGAGGAAAACUACUUCAUUCAGUUAACAGGAAGCACACAAGAAUCUCCCCAUCAACCAAGAUUUUUUUUUUCUAUAACCCACGCUUUGUAAGACAAUAAUAGCAAAAACUAUAAACUAGAAUUUGUUGAAAGAACAACUUCUAGAAUUUGCCCUUUAUGUGCUGUUUUACCAUUGUCAUGUCUGUCUCUGGUAUGACUUCCUCAUCUAUUAGUAGCCUCCUAAUAAAUUUGAACAAAUGAAUGAAUGAUACAGUCGAAUGUAAUUUGGAAUUUACGAGUCUUAUCACAUUCUCAUUCUGCUUGAGCAAUUCAAGAUAUAAGAAAAACAGACUGUCUACAUUUCUUCAGAGUUCCUCCAACUAUUGGCUUAAAAUUCCUGAAAUUAAAAUUAUAGUUCUUUGA
rnacentral:lncRNA from 10 species